rnacentral:sRNA from 1 species
CAGAUCUAUUCUUACAUACAGCCGAGUUGGAGGACGAGUCAAGACGCUCACAUUCUGCCAAGGCUCCCACUAUUUAGCCAUAGCAUCUGAUAAUGGUGCUGUCCAGCUUCUUGGAAUUGAGGCUUCUAAGCUGCCCAAGUCUCCUAAAAUCCAUCCUCUACAAAGCAGAAUUCUAGAUCAGAAGGAGGACGGUUGUGUUGUGGAUAUGCAUCACUUCAACUCUGGGGCACAGUCUGUUCUUGCCUAUGCCACUGUGAAUGGCUCUCUGGUUGGCUGGGACCUUAGGUCUUCAAGCAAUGCGUGGACUUUAAAGCACGAUUUAAAGUCAGGCCUCAUCACUUCCUUUGCUGUGGACAUCCACCAAUGCUGGCUCUGCAUUGGGCUCGAAUCAGGCGCCUCUCAAUGCACCCUCUGUAUCAGUCCUGGGUGAUUGCAGCUGUUCAGGGCAACAACGAAGUGUCCAUGUGGGACAUGGAGACUGGUGACAGAAGAUUUACUCUCUGGGCCAGCAGUGCACCACCACUUUCUGAAUUACAGCCUUCUCCUCAUAGCGUCCAUGGUAUUUACUGUAGUCCUGCAGAUGGAAAUCCUAUCCUGCUAACAGCUGGCUCAGAUAUGAAAAUAAGGUUUUGGGACUUGGCUUACCCAGAAAGGUCCUAUGUUGUUGCAGGAAGUACUAGUUCCCCAUCUGUGUCCUACUACAGGAAAAUAAUUGAAGGCACUGAAGUUGUCCAGGUACUGUAC